UGGCAAUGAUGAAAAAAAGGCCGGACUUACAGCUGCUACCUUAAAUAUGGUUGGUAGUAGAUUGAUGAGACGUUCUAUAAGGUUAUUUCUGAGCCAA